rnacentral:rRNA from 1 species
GGCGAACGCUGGCGGCGUGCUUAACACAUGCAAGUCGAACGGAAAGGCCCUUCGGGGUACUCGAGUGGCGGACGGGUGGGUAACACGUGGGUGAUCUGCCCUGCACUUUGGGAUAAGCCUGGGAAACUGGGUCUAAUACCGGAUAGGACCACGCGCUUCAUGGUGUGUGGUGGAAAGCUUUUGCGGUGUGGGAUGGGCCCGCGGCCUAUCAGCUUGUUGGUGGGGUAAUGGCCUACCAAGGCGACGACGGGUAGCCGGCCUGAGAGGGUGACCGGCCACACUGGGACUGAGAUACGGCCCAGACUCCUACGGGAGGCAGCAGUGGGGAAUAUUGCACAAUGGGCGCAAGCCUGAUGCAGCGACGCCGCGUGAGGGAUGACGGCCUUCGGGUUGUAAACCUCUUUCGCCAGGGACGAAGCGCAAGUGACGGUACCUGGAGAAGAAGGACCGGCCAACUACGUGCCAGCAGCCGCGGUAACAC